CGGGUAAAAAGUGAAACGACGAGCGAGGAUGUGAUUGGGUGUGCUUGCCAGCGUGGGCGUGGAGUGGAGUAGAGUGGUCUCUCUUUCUCUCUCUCUCUCUCUCAGGCUUCUUCCUCUGCCGCCGCCCUACAAAGACGCCGCCUAGGACUCGCCACCCCCGCCCGACCGCCGGGACGCGAGACGCGCCCGCCACUUCCUCUGCUGCCCCUAGCACCCAGACCUGCACCACGGGCUCCGCGCCUUACACGAGUAGCCCGAGAUGUGCGCGUGGGAGUUCCUCUAGCUCCGGCAGGGGUUCCUGCUCCCGAUGGCGUUCCGGCAGCUCAGGAAGUGGGCGGUGGCGGAGGUCUAGACGGUCCUCCUCCUCCUGACCUUCGCGUAGCUCCUGGCGGAGCCGACGCCGGUCCAGCUCCUCGAGUAGCUCCUCCGGCUCCUGCUCGAGUUCGAGUAGCCGUUCUACUAGCUCACCCUAGGGACCCCACAAGGACUACUGAUGCUUACGCUCCACUAACUUCUACUGCGUGGAUAAGGGUUCGUACAAGGCGUCGUGGCCGGGCAACGUGAUGGACUCCUCAAGAAGUUCUGUAAUCUACGGUAGUUUAGUCUAGGUCGAGACGUCCCGCUGAGAGGAGGCGUUCACUUCAGUACUUUGAACGAGAAGUUCUACGUAGUAAAAAGUGGACAACGUCACACAUCAACUCUGAUCAGAGUACCCAGGAAACGGACGUCAAACGAACAACAGGGCUCGUCUUAUUUAAACAAAGACACUUACACUUACGCAAAAAUUGCGUCACGAAGUUGUGUCAUUUUAUGACAAAGACAAAAGAUAAUUAGCUACAACUGUUCUAGUUUACGACCAAACAAAAUAUUGAAAAGCUAAUUACAUGAAGAUCUUGGGACGUGAAGAACUUCACAGUAACGGAUCACUAAUGGACG
rnacentral:rRNA from 1 species